UUUUUUUUUUUGGAAUUGAGACUUGAGAAGCGAGUUCCACUCUUGAACAAGGCCUGAGAUAUAUCACCUCCCCACCUGAGCUUUCCCCCUCAGGUACACAAGGGAGCCAGCAGCAAAUCUGAAGAGUAAAGGGAACAGAAAGCCACUUCCCAUUAAUUUAGAUGGAAGCUGAUGAGGCAGUGGACAACCAUCUGUCAUUUCUGCCCGGCUUUAGUGCUGGUGUGUCCCCCACUGCCUCCCUGUGGGCUGCGUAAGGGGCAGGAGAGUGGUUGGCAGAUCACUGCUUGCUUUCCUUUUUUUGGCUUUUUAGGGCUGUACCUGCAGCAUAUGGAGGUUCCCAGGCUAGGGGUCAAAUUGGAGCUGUAACCACCAGCCUAUGCCACCGGCACAGCAACGCCAGAUCUGAGCCAUGUCUGUGACCUUCACUGCAGCUCAUGGCAACACCAAAUCCUUAACCCACUGAGCAAGGCCAGGGAUUGAACCUGUGUCCUCAUGGAUGCUAGUCGGCUUUGUUACUGCUGAGCCACGACGACGGGAACUCAGCAAAUCACCACUUUCAACAAUGUGUUGUAGGCUUAAAUGUGUCCUUUCUACGUCAAGGUGAAAACAGAACACAUUGGUAACAUAAGGCAAUUCUUUGCUUAUGAGACAUGUGGCAGCUUGUUGCCAUGGCCUCUGCUCCAGGUGGGGUAAAAGGCAAAUCUUGGCCACAUAUCAGAAUUCCAAGGACUGGCUUCCUACAUUCUCUAGGCUGCAGCUUUGAAAUUCAGAAACCAGACUAGGGUGGGUGAUGUGGUCCCAGGAUGGCUGGCUUGGCAGACCAAACCCACAAGAGGAGGGGAAUUCAACAUCAUGAUUUAAGGUAUGUUGACCGGGAAAAAAAAUGCACGAUGUAAAAAGUGAGAGUUAUUUUACUUGGUAGCCUUACGACUGUCGCCCAGGGUGGCAUCCUCUCACAUAGCUCCGAGGGGUUGUUCCAAAGAGGUGGGCAGGACAGCUUGGGCAGCCCGGAUCAUCCAUAUGGAGCCCUCAUCCCAGGAUGCCUGCCUCACUUGGUCUCUCAGAAUCGCACUUGCCCUUCAGUAUCCAAGCAUCUUCCAGUCAGCAGUUUUCCCUGUCCUGUCCCUCUGACUCAGGGGCUGCCUCAGCGGGCUUCCCUUGGUGGUUGUAUACACCCAGAAAGCCUCUCGGUACUGCCAUCUGCCUUUCCUACCAACCCACAUUCUUUCAUUCUGGCUGAGAGGAUCGGUAUAUUUGUUGAAUCUUUCUUUCUGACAGAGGAGCCUGUUUGGGAAACAGUUCAAGUCAUACUAUCACUUAGUGAAUAUGGAAGGCCUAGAAUACUAUUCAGCCGUAAAAAAGAAGGAAAUAAUACCAUUUGCUUCAACAUGGAUGAACCUAGAGAUUAUCCUACUAAGUGAAGAAAGUCAAAGACAGGUAUCAUAUGAUACUGAUUAUAGGUGGAAUCGAAAAUAUGGGAGUGGAAUUCCUGUUGUGGCACAGUGGAAACAAAUCUGACUAGGAACCAUGAGGUUGUGGGUUCGAUCCCUGGCCUUGCUCAGUGGGUUAAGGCUCAGCGUUGCCGUGAGCUGUGGUGUAGGUCAAAGACGCAGUUUGAAUCCUGUGUUGCUGUGACUGUGAUGUAGGGUGGUAGCUGCAGCUCCCAUUCGACCCCUAGACUGGGAACCUCCAUAUGCUGCAGGUGGAGCCAUAAAGAGCAAAAAAGAAAGAAAAAAAAGACACAAAUGAACUUAUCUAUGAAACAGGAACAGACUACAGACAUAGAGAACAGACCUGUGGUUGCCAAAGGAGAGGGGGUGGGGAGUUUGGAAUUAGGAGAUGCAAACUAGUACAUAUACGAUGGAUAAACAAGGUCCUACUUUAUGGCACAGGGAACUAGAUUCAACAUCCUGUGAUAAACCACAUUGGAAAAGAAUACAGAAAAGUAUAUAUAUAUAACUGAAUCAUUUUUCUAUAAAUCAGAAAUUAACAUUGUAAGUCAAUAGAAUUAAAAAUGUAUAUAUAGAAGGCCUAGGAUGAGCUGAGCCAGAAAUGUCCCAAAUCCAUGUCUGAAGAUGCUAACCCAUCCCAUAGGCAUUGCUGCUCUGCUGCUUUCUUCCAAAUUCUGCACCCUCUCCAUCUUUCAAUGCUAGUAUCAGAAGGGCCCCUGAGUAGGUGCUAAUGUCCUUGGCAGUGUUAAACUUGGCCAUGGUUGCAGGAAGAAAAUAGCUCAAGAAGGCUGUAGUAGUCUCUUAUGUUGAAGAAGUGAUGCUCUUUCUCAUCUUGGGAUUGGGAGUAGGGUUAGACCAGCUUUGCGGGGUGUUCCAUCUGCAGGUUCUCCUGUAGCUACUGCCUCUGUGCCCCAACAAUGCCCUCUGCCUGAUUUCUGAAGGGCUGUGAGAAUGCUAUUGUGCUAGUGGCUGCAUAGGACGUGGUCAUAAGGGGGAGACUUUUCCCAUGGGGGCAGCUCUGCAUGCAGGUAAAGGAGAUGGCCUCUGUCACCUGAAAUGCUGCCUGCUGCCUGCUGAAAACUCCCCUCACUGCUCACGGCACUGAAAUUUCACCGUCAAACCCAUUUCUGACUUUGAUUUAAGCUUGCCAUCUUCCCUUCCCUUUGAUACGGUAUACAGUUCCUUUCCCUUUGAUAGGGUAUACAGUUGCCUCUCAGUGUCUGUGGAGGAUUGGUUCCAGGACCCUGAGAAGGCCAUAAUCUGCAGAUGCCUGAGUCCCCGACAUAAAAUGGUGCAGUAUUUGCAUAUAACUUACACACAUCCUUCUGUAUACAUUAAAUCAUCUGUAGAUUACUUAUAAUACCCAAUAUAAUGUCAGCAGUUGUAAAUGCUAUAUAAAUAGUUGCUGGUGUGCUGCAAAUUCAACUUUUGCGUACUGGAACUUUCUGGAAUUUUUUUUGGUGUGUGAAUAUUUUGAAUCUGUGGUUGGUUGUAUCUGAGGAUGUGGAACCUGUAGGUACAGAGGGCUGACUAUACAGUUCUAGGGGAAAGAGUGUUCGCUGAGUUUCCAUCCGAAUCCAAUCAAGACUUCAUUAAGAAUGUAAUAGCUCAGGAGUUGCCGUCGUGGCGCAGUGGUUGACGAAUCCGACUAGGAACCAUGAGGUUGCGGGUUCGGUCCCUGCCCUUGCUCGGUGGGUUAACGAUCCGGCGUUUCCUUGAGCUGUGGUGUAGGUUGUAGACGCGGCUUGGAUACCACGUUGCUGUGGCUCUGGCGUAGGCUGGUGGCUACAGCUCCGAUUGGACCCCUAGCCGGGGAACCUCCAUAUGCCGCGGGAGCGACCCCCAAAAAUAGCAAAAAAGACAAAAAAAAAAAAAAAAAAAAAAAAAAAAAGAAUGUAAUAGCUCAGCCUUUCCCUCUGUUUCCCCCUCCCGUUCCCUGGCCAGUUCGCAUUCAGGAUGUCAGAAGUUCUGCCAGUUGCAGAACACACCUUUGCUCUCUGAUCCACAUCAGGUCUGACAAGGUAGGGAGGCCUCUGCCCAUCUCCCACGAAGAAUACCAGCUGCGCUGACACCUUGUCCUUGGGGAGGCUACCUGAGGCUGUACCUCGCUCCCCCUGGGGCUUGGACAGCCUGGCCUCUCGGGGACUUCCUGCCAGAGCUGCGCAGGUGUCCUGUGAAGGAGGGCUGUGGGGAAGCAGGGAGGCGAGCUGCUGGUGCUUGGCUGGUUCUCCGUGCAGUGCUUUGAUCACAGCUCGUGGGGUGACCACGCCCGAGAAGCUCUGCUGUCUUUUCAGUCCCGCCGCCAGCAGCAGUGAGAAGUCUACACAAAGGCUCUUGACUGCAGAGGAUCAGAAACCUGAGUGAAGACUCCUCAAUGCAGACUUAGAUGGUGUCUAAGAAACAGGGUCACAUCAGCCUAUGGGCAAAGCUGUAACUCUUGUUUCCAAAGCAUCAGCCCUUAAUGGCUAGUGGAGAAGGGCUCCUGGCCGUGGGAGCAGUGGCAGUUCUGCGGAAGGAGGUUUCACAAGCCCUGUCCCCACCGCAGUCUCCUGGCUGGACCAGCCUCCUGGGCUUGGCCUCUUGGAGAUAACGCCCCCUUUCUCAAGCCAAACUCCAGGCAGCAGGAUCUGUCUCCCUGACUCACUCCUGUCCCUCAGCACCUGGAAUAGCACCAGGCAGAGGAGUUACCCCUCAGCGUUUGUGGAAUGAACGAAUCCACAGCUGAAACACGGCCUGGGCUGUAGAAGAGUUCUCCUCUUGUUCCAAAACAGGUGCUGGUGGGAAAGUGACUGCUGGGGCUCAUCUUUGCAGUUGCAUUUAGGGGAGGCCUUGGGCUGGAGAUAACCAGAGUCAUUGUUCCUCCCCACUUCUCCCUGUAAUUGAGUCAUCACUGAGGACCCGCUACCCUUAGAGACAAGAGGAAGCCAAAUGUUGCAGGGCUUCUUCAGAAUAGGGGUGUUGGGGGAGGACUGUAUGAAAAAGGGCAUAGGAAGGCUGGCACCGUCUGGGUGGGGGAGGGGCCCUUUGGAGGCCAGCAUGCAAGUGUUUGCCCGCGCACCACCCAUCCGUAGCCUAACCUGCACAGGGGGACAGGCUUUUCCCACCUAGAAAGAGACUAAUCUUGCUCUUUCCUUUGCAGGAUGUGCUGAAUCAAAAUUUAAUUGCUAAGGUUCUAGAAAUCUUCAGGAAAAAAACACGAACAUGUCAUUUAAAUUUUAAAUUCUCAAAUGUCAUUUUUAGUUUCCAUUUUUUAUAAGUGGAGAAGAGCCGAUUCCGAAGGCUUCCAGGGAGGGAGAAAGGGAAAUAGUCCCGGAUCUUUAGUUGAGAACAGGCCUGGGUCUUCUCUUUCCUGCUUUGUGUGCUGCCGGGUCCUCCCACUUCGGCCCAGCAAGAGGGCUCGGAGAAGCUGGGUGUCUGCUUUCCCUAGGCUCAUCGUGCAUUUUUCCUAGGGGAAAAUGGACUCUCACUCUGGAAAGCAUAAAACCGUGUUUGUUCAGUGUUCCUUAGACAAGGCUCCCUGCGCCGGGCGGAGCGAACCCAGCGCAGCCGCGCGUUGUGUAACCCGCCUGGGAAUCACGUUGCGCUGAUGAGCUCCCCAGGCUUUUCAUGCAAUAAUAAGCUUGAUCUUUUUAUUCAACUACAAGGAACAGCCACAGCCGGCUCCAGGUCACGUGUCCCGGUCACGUGGUGCUGAGACACAGAAACCGCCUGGCAAUCAUUAACAACUGCUUACUGCCGGGGAGCAAAAUGCAGGUUUUAAAGACAAGAACGUUAUUUUUAUAAACAACCAGGACGGCAGUAGAAGGUAUACGGGGCGGGGGGGGGCGUUUUCCUCUGGCUCAGUGCUUUCCAAGGAAAGGAAAAGAGCCAGCAAACACUCCCUGGUUUUGCUCUGCUUCAAGGACUUGACAAACCGGCCCAGCGCAGCCCCCUUCUCCGGCGGAGCGGCGGCUGCUGCGGCGGGGCCUCGGGCAGCGGGAGGCGCAGGCGGCCUGGGUGCCGGCCGGCGCUUGGGAGGAGGAGGACAGCGUUUUGCAAGGAGCACAGAGCCCGUUUUCUCUUCCCAAGCAGAUCCGCGCUUCUGGGGGAUGGAGCUGGGGAGGGGCGAGGGGCGGGGAAAGGCCCGGGAAACGUGGGCGCUUCUGGAUUUUCAUUAAAAGGAAAACCAGCGUCCAGAAUGCGGCUCCUUUAAAUCUUCCUGUGGCGAGAACUGAAACUGCAAGGACUCUGCCCACCUGAAUGUUUCCUUGUUCAGUCGUUUGAAUUUAGAAAGAAGUUCUUUCACUUUCUGGGACUUGUAUAGUGUUACUUUGUGCUUUCAGAAACUGUGAUUAUCAGGCUGGGGUUGUUUGAUUUUAGUGUACAAGCGACAGUAGUGGGAGUGAGUAAAGAGCUUAGGCUCUUGGCUGUGGAGGGAAAGGAUAGCUCAAUGCAGCUAAAAGGCCCAAGCAGAAACUGACAGCCCACCCCCCAACCUACAUGUGUUUUAUUUCACAUUAUACAUAGAGUACUUUCCAAAACACUGCAGUAGGGCCUCAGCCUUAGAAGAAAAUCCUCUGGCGUAAUCUGGAGCCUUAUAUUCAUGUUUUAUUCAUCACUUUUCAGAAAGAACCAAUACACAACGAAUCUCCAAUUUUCUAGGUUCACUGUAUCACCAAAAUAUAAUUAUUUCAGGAAACUUAGUUAUGGAGUUUAGAUGUCUCCCUCUUUACUUUCCCAUGCUGCUGUCCUCCAAAAGAUCAAAGUACCUAACCUAGCCAGAUGGAGCCAGGUUUUGUAGGGCCUGAAGCUUUUACAAUUUGGGAGGCCCUUUUGAACAGAAUAGAAAAUUAUAGAGAAAAUUAGGUUAAAAAGUAGCACAAAAUUCAGAAAAAACUUACUUCUUAUUACUGGCUUGACACACGUCUGAAAUCCCUCUAAAUCUGCAUUUGGGGUGCAUCUUCUUUGACGGUCUCAUAUUCUGGAAGGGCGUAAAUGUCUUGACCACUUAAUCAGUUUUACGUGUGCC
rnacentral:lncRNA from 1 species